UAUAAAACAGUGUAUAUAUACAAUGGUCUACAGAGAAUUACAAUCACAGAGCUUAAAUCAGUGAGGGACUUGGGUAUCGACAUGAGUGAUGAUACCUCUUUCCAAGUGCACAUCACCAGGAUGGUGACAAAGUGCAGACGACUGGCUUGAUGGAUCCUAAGAACAUUCAGAACCAGAGAUAAGGAUACCAUGAUGGUC